AUGAUACUCCCUCCGUCCGGAAUUACUUGUCAUCAAAAUGGAUGAAAAUGGAUGUAUCUAGAACUAAAAUACAUCUAGAUACAUCCAUUUCAAUGACAAGUAUUUCUGGACGGAGGGAGUAUAAA
rnacentral:pre_miRNA from 1 species